CUGUGGUGCCCUGCCCAUGGUGAGUCCUAAGUAGGACCCAGAAUCUAAGCAGGAAAGUGGAAUGGGAGUUCUGCCCAGUGAAAGCUCCCUUUGAAGUAGCUCUGGCUCCCCAAACACACAAGUCAGACUAAAUCUUCCCUGGAGCGCUCAAUGCCCGUAUUACCCCCAAGCGCCCCUGGAAACUCCUAUGGGUUGGACGGGAAGGGUCGGGCAUCCUCCUCUCGCCCCCAGGGAGGGACAGUGUUGUUAGUGAGUGUAAUAGCUCUCAGCGUGUGCUUGCUAUGGGGAGAUUCCAUUGACUUGAAAGUUGAAAUGCGCUCUUACUGCUUUGACAGCUUCUGCCACUAGGGGCGCGUGUGGCCAAGCCUGGAGCCCGGGUUUGAAAGCACCACCCUCCUGGGAUAGGGUUAGUCGGCUUCUGCUUCUUCCGGCAAGCUGUGCCUGCCGGUGAAUUAAAGGGGCAAGGGUGGCCACGGUGGCACAUCCAGCUCCCGUGCUAACCAUCAGCUUAAAGUCAUUAGAUGAAAAUGAGAACACAGCCACAUGCCACAAUUGAGUGUCCCCUGCCCUAGAGCAAACUCCCUUCAGCCCUCACCCAUAGGGCCUUUCCAUCUGCUGGGCAGAUGACUAAGGAUCUUGGUCUAAUAAUUCCAUCUUCCAUUGAUGAGUCUGCGGUUCCAUCUUAUGGCUUGAGUGUUGGAACAUCUCUCGUGGAGGAGAAAUGCACGGGCGCUAGGCUAUGUUCCUUCCUCACAGCUGCCUUCCAGGGUGUCGGGGUACCAGGCUCCUGGGACCCCAACACAUCACUCAGGGGAGGUGAAAUGCAGUCUAAAAUAGGGGUCCCAACCCAUGUUUCUCCAGGUGAGAAAUGGCAGGGGCUAGGACAGUGGCUGUGGUUCUCAAACUCCUGGGCACCCAGAUGCCGCCGAGAACGGCAUUGAGAAUGGGGUUCCCAUACUUCUGUGUAUCCCAAGGCCGCUGAGGACUGCAAGCAGUUGGGAGAACAAGGGCCGAGGGCCUGUGAUGAGGGCGUGUGGGGGCUCCAACUUAACUCAGGUGAGUGCCAGGAGUGUGCAGGGGCCUUCUACCCGAGACUUAGGUGCAGCUCUGUAUGAUGAAGGCUUCCCCCCAUAGUGGUCCUUGAUGAAGGAGACAGCCCUUGCUUGUCCAAACUGUUUAUUCAUGGCACAUGAAGACUCAUGUGAUUUACUCAGGGUGAACCAGAGAUUAAAUACCUUUUGCAGAAAGGGACGCUUAGGAAGAAUGCUCAUUGGCUAAACACUCCGAGCCCCUAGAUAUCUCAUUAGCAUAGAGACCUCUAGGCUCUAUGCUAUGUGACCAGUUGUCAUGGUCCUCUUAGUGGAGUAUCAUGGUCCUGUACUCUAGGACAGGAAUCUGGUCGGAAGCUAGUCUGAACUGCGGCCGUUCUCAAUUAUGAGUUUUAUCAGGGUUCUAAACUUUGCUACAACCUUGUCAGCUCUUCUGUCUGCUAGCCCUAUACCAACCCUAGGGGUUGCUGGAAUAGUACCACACCCUGAUCAGUGGUGCAACCAGAAUUCUACAUGAAGUGGGUGCACUCUUUAAUCUGAUUUAAAAUGGCAGGAACAGAGACCUACAAACUUUAGGAAAAAAACCAGACAUUCUUGUGAAGGGAUUCUGGCUAGCUCGAGCAUGGCAGACAUGGCUCUGGCAGGCCUUAUGCUUCUCCCCAAUUCUUUCUGCCUUGCUAAAAUCUGUUAGAUUUCAUUCCUAAAGCUAGCUACCAAGGUCUAUUCCCUUAUUUGGCCACUUCCUCCUCCUGAGGCUGACGACCAAGGUCCAGCAAUCAAAAGACCCCUUUGGCUCACCUAAGUAGCAUGCUCAAUUAAAAUUAAACAGCUCAUGCUAAUAUAGGGUUUCCCAUCUGCCCAUGGGCCCCACCUGUCUUCUCUCUAUCCAGACACAGACCUUCGUCCCCCAAGACAAAUGCCCCCUACCAGUCUCCCUUGCCCCUUAUUCCUCCCCCUUGCCCCUUCAUCCCUUGUCUCCUGUCUUUGUCUCUUAUCCCUGCCUUCUGUCCUUCUGGGGCAAAUACAACUCCUUUGUGCUGAGAACCUGGUCUUAGUGGUCCUGAGCCAACACUUUUUCUCUCAGCUAGGAUCCUAGGGAACUCAGAGGCCGUCAAAGCCAGUAGUGUUCAAGUUCUCAGCUCUGAAGUUAAAUAGGGAAAUUCACAGGCAGCAGAGUUUUAGGGACAUGAUUAUUGUAAAUUCAUAAGCGAGAGCUUAUGAGACUGAGGGCAGAGCUCCAAAAAGCAAAAGGUGCUCCCAGGAAUGGGGCUACCACUGGGCUGCUGGUCUGAGGGCUUUUGGAAGGACUGAUGAUAGAAAUUGGGGUGAGACAUGGAGACAUGGAGAGGGAUAAGCUGUUCAGUCAAGCUGGUCCAACCAAAAGGUGCCCAGGUUCCUCCUCUCCAUUUUAGCUUCGUUCUCACAUAUAACUUCCAGGCAGGGGUGAGAGACAACGAGGAACCAGAAACAGGAACUCCUUUCUGGUGGCCCUGGUAUUCUCCUGACCAGCUUCCAUCUUCUUUUCUUCUCAGGGAUUAUGUGUCGGUCAGAUCUCUUCUGUUCUUAAGCAAGUACCCCUAUGCCCCAUCCCAUGCCCAGUACCAGUCCUUCACAUUACCUUCCUCUCUCUUCCCUUGGGUUCCCCAGCCUAGUCUCUGGUUAUAGCUCUCCCAGGCCAAGACUCCCAGACCUUGGCUCCUCAUUGCUUGCUGGAAAGCAGCCUCUCCCUGGUAGGUCCUGAGUUUGAGUUUGGAAUCCAGAGGUUCCCCAGCCCCAGCUCUUAAUUUUAGGGAGGGGUGUAAGACUGGUGCCCUGCUGCAUCCUCCUGUUGUCAGCCUUACCCUAACCCUGGAUCUGAUGAGGAAGGUGGUACCACAGAGACACACAGCCAUAGAGGCCAUUGACGAUGCCCUGCCCUCCACCAGUUGGUGAAAACCCAGUAAAUUCUAACUUUUACCUGCCUCCUUAGGAAACCCAUACUAUUCUUCUGCUGAAGGAAUUUAGCAAUAAAAUGAUCCCUAAUGUCUUACUGCUAUAUCCAUGGAUUAGUGUCUGACUCAGCCCUCAUCAGGGAAACUUUUUCUUGCAGUAGAUGGGAACUAACACAGAGAUAUCCACAACUGGGCAGUGUGCAGAGAGUGAGAGACUUUGGAGCACUCAGUCAUAAAUGGGAUGCCUCCAUCAAAACCACCCCACCCCGCCCCACCCCUGCCUCCAAGACUCAGAUAUGUAUGUGGAGAUUGUAGGAGCCAAAGGAGAUGGAUGAAUCCAAGGAAGAACUGAUACACAUGAACUCAUAGAGACUGUCACAGCACACAUAAGGUAUUGAUCAGAUGAGGCCCCAGCACUGAGGAAGCAAAGUAGACAUGGGCUCCCACCCCUAGCCAAGAAACUAUCUGCUAUUGAUAACAGUUGGAAAAGGGCAAGCAUGUUUUCUCCAAUGGAAUCUCACUGGGUUUGUCAGCCACGCAUCAGGGUAGGUCCUGUGCCCAGGAAUAGUUGGCUGACGCCAAACUCCGCGGCGUUCUUGUCAUCUCAUUCCACUUUGUUGGCUCGUAGUCUUCAUAUUGGUCUUUUGCUUGUUUAUUUUGAUUUCUCUUUGUGUGUGUGUGUGUUUUCAUGGGGGUAUUUGUGUGUCAUUUUUGUUAUUGUUUUGCUCAUUUAAGAGAGAGAAAGAAGCUGGGCAGUGGUGGCGCACACCUUUAAUCCCAGCACUUGGGAGGCAGAGGCAGGCAGAUUUCUGAGUUUGAGACCAGCCUGGUCUACAGAGUGAGUUCCAGGACAGCCAGGGCUAUACAGAGAAAUCCUGUCUUGAAAAAAACGAGAGACAGAAAGAGAACAUAUAAUUGGGUGUUUAGGGAGUGUUGUAGCCCCUGAAUUACUGAUGCUAACUCUCUGAGGUUAAUUGUUCUGUAUCUUGGGAGCCUGACCAAAGAGACUGCAGUGUUGUGUGCAGAAGCUCCUAUUCUUCCUCUUGUCAGUGGCAAGCACAGUUAUGCAGGCAGCUGGCUUCUGCGCUUAGGAAGGUAAGGACUGUUUCCUCCUCACCUCCUGUUAUACCCGAGUCCUGUGGGACCCUACAACAUCAACUGUCUCUGGCCCUGCUCCAAGAUGCAGUGUAUUUGUCUGUCAGACUUCUCCAGAGGAACAGAACUGAUAGGAUGAACACACAUAUGGAAUUUAUUAGAGUGGCCUACAGGCUAUGCUUUGGCUUGCCUAGUAAUGGCUGUUUCCCAGUGGAAAGGCCAACAACUGGAGAGCUUUUCAUGAGACGAGAUGUCUCAGUUGGUCUCCUGUGUACUUUGGAAUCCUAAAGAAGUAGGUUCUGACACCAGCAAAUUAGUGCAUCAGCAGUCGAGUAGGUGAAUGUGCCCUUGAGAGUGAGGAUAAACAGGCAAAAUGAAAGAGCUUCCUUCUUUCAUGUCCUAUAGGCUGCCACCAGAAGGUGUGGCCAAGAUUUAGAGUGGGUCUUCCU
rnacentral:lncRNA from 1 species